rnacentral:ncRNA from 1 species
CUAAUUAUAUAUUACAUGCAAGAUUAUUCGUUACAAAAGUAUUAAAAUAUUUAAAAUAUAUUAUACAUAUAAUCCUAUACUUAUUAGGAAAUCAAACCGCAGUAUUUAAUACUAAAUAAUAACUUAAUAGUUGAUCUGAUAUUUUAGUAAAAACCGGUUAAAUUUUGUGCCAGCAUCCGCGGUUAUACUAAGGGUUAAAAAAAAUUAUUUGGUUAAAAAUAGUUAAAUUUUUAAUUAUAAACAACUCUUGUAUAUUAUAAACUAAAGGUGAAAUUAAACUUUUAAAAAUUCAAGAGUCAUUAUUAAAUUAUUGAAACUAAAAAAUCUUAAGUAUAAACCAGGAUUAGAUACCCUGUUAUUUUAAGAUAAAAUAUUAUUCAACCUGGGUAUUAAACAGUUAUGAGCUUGAAACUCAAAGAAUUUGGCGGUGUCUUAGUCUAGUUAGAGGAGCCUGUUAUGUAAACGAUACACCCCGCAUAAUCUUACUUUUUUAUGUAAAAUCAGUUUGUAUACCGUCAUUAUUUAGAUGAUUUUUAACUAAAAAUUUUAAUCAUUAAAAAAACUAUAAGUUAAUAUAUUAGAUCAAGGUGCAGCUAAUAAAAAAGAAUUAAUGGGCUACAAUAAUAUCAAAAUUAAACGAAUAUAAAAUUGAAAUAUUUUAUUGAAGGCGGAUUUAAUAGUAUUAUUAAAUUUACUACGGUAAUAAGAUAAUAGCUCUAAGAUAUGUACACAUUGCCCGUCGCUCUCAUUCUUAAUGUGAGAUAAGUCGUAACACAGUAGUUGUACUGGAAAGUGUAUCUAGAUUUAU